GUGCCAGCAGCCGCGGUAAUACAGAGGGUGCAAGCGUUAAUCGGAAUUACUGGGCGUAAAGCGUACGUAGGCGGUUAUUUAAGUCGGAUGUGAAAGCCCCGGGCUCAACCUGGGAACUGCACUCGAUACUGGAUAACUAGAGUAUGGUAGAGGAAAGUGGAAUUUCCGGUGUAGCGGUGAAAUGCGUAGAUAUCGGAAGGAACACCAGUGGCGAAGGCGGCUUUCUGGACCAAUACUGACGCUGAGGUACGAAAGCGUGGGGAGCAAACAGGAUUAGAUACCCUGGUAGUCCACGCCGUAAACGAUGAGAACUAGAUGUUGGCCCCUUUCGGGGGGUUAGUAUCGCAGCUAACGCAUUAAGUUCUCCGCCUGGGGAGUACGGGCGCAAGACUAAAACUCAAAUGAAUUGACGG
rnacentral:rRNA from 1 species